rnacentral:rRNA from 1 species
UAGUAACGGCGAGUGAACCGGGAAGAGCUCAAAUUUGUAAUCUGGCGUGCUACGUGCGUCCGAGUUGUAAUCUAGAGAGGCGUUUUCCGUGCCGGUCCGUGUCCAAGUCCCUUGGAACAGGGUAUCAAAGAGGGUGACAAUCCCGUACUUGACACGACCACCGGUGCUCUGUGAUACGUCUUCGACGAGUCGAGUUGUUUGGGAAUGCAGCUCAAAACGGGUGGUAAAUUCCAUCUAAAGCUAAAUAUUGGCGAGAGACCGAUAGCGAACAAGUACCGUGAGGGAAAGAUGAAAAGCACUUUGGAAAGAGAGUUAAACAGUAUGUGAAAUUGUUAAAAGGGAAACGAUUGAAGUCAGUCGUGUUCAUUGGAUUCAGCCGGUUCUGCCGGUCUACUUCCUUUGAACGGGUCAACAUCAGUUUUGAUCGGUGGAUAAAUUCGGGAGGAAGGUGGCAUCCUCGGAUGUGUUAUAGCCUCCCGUUGCAUACGCUGGUCGAGACUGAGGAACGCAGCUCGCCUUUAUGGCCGGGGUUCGCCCACGUCCGAGCUUAGGAUGUUGACAUAAUGGCUUUAAACGACCCGUCUUGAAACACGGACC